GGAGUUCAUCUCUCUCUUCUGCUGCUCGGGAGGCUAGCUGGGAAUCAAUCGGUGAGCUUUCACUUCCUUCCCGUGCAUGUCCAGCUGAGCUUUGAAAGUUGCUCAGUAGAUUCCACAGAAUCACAAAAUUGUAGGAGCUGGAAAGGACCUCCAGAGAUCAUCAAAAUAAGCUCAGUGUAGCAUGAUUCAUAGCGUACUGUUGAUACCCUGCACCUUCUGCUUAAAAUAAGGACUCCUUCCAAUUAUGAAAAAUAUCAUAUUAAUUGAGCUACAUUUUGCAUGAUUAU
rnacentral:lncRNA from 1 species